rnacentral:rRNA from 1 species
ACGAACGCUGGCGGCGUGGAUAAGACAUGCAAGUCGAACGAGAGAAUUGCUAGCUUGCUAAUAAUUCUCUAGUGGCGCACGGGUGAGUAACACGUGAGUAACCUGCCCCCGAGAGCGGGAUAGCCCUGGGAAACUGGGAUUAAUACCGCAUAGUAUCGAAAGAUUAAAGCAGCAAUGCGCUUGGGGAUGGGCUCGCGGCCUAUUAGUUAGUUGGUGAGGUAACGGCUCACCAAGGCGAUGACGGGUAGCCGGUCUGAGAGGAUAUCCGGCCACACUGGAACUGAGACACGGUCCAGACACCUACGGGUGGCAGCAGUCGAGAAUCAUUCACAAUGGGGGAAACCCUGAUGGUGCGACGCCGCGUGGGGGAAUGAAGGUCUUCGGAUUGUAAACCCCUGUCAUGUGGGAGCAAAUUAAAAAGAUAGUACCACAAGAGGAAGAGACGGCUAACUCUGUGCCAGCAGCCGCGGUAAUACAGAGGUCUCAAGCGUUGUUCGGAAUCACUGGGCGUAAAGCGUGCGUAGGCUGUUUCGUAAGUCGUGUGUGAAAGGCGCGGGCUCAACCCGCGGACGGCACAUGAUACUGCGAGACUAGAGUAAUGGAGGGGGAACCGGAAUUCUCGGUGUAGCAGUGAAAUGCGUAGAUAUCGAGAGGAACACUCGUGGCGAAGGCGGGUUCCUGGACAUUAACUGACGCUGAGGCACGAAGGCCAGGGGAGCGAAAGGGAUUAGAUACCCCUGUAGUCCUGGCAGUAAACGGUGCACGCUUGGUGUGCGGGGAAUCGACCCCCUGCGUGCCGGAGCUAACGCGUUAAGCGUGCCGCCUGGGGAGUACGGUCGCAAGAUUAAAACUCAAAGAAAUUGACGGGGACCCGCACAAGCGGUGGAGUAUGUGGCUUAAUUCGAUGCAACGCGAAGAACCUUACCUGGGCUUGACAUGUAAUGAACAACAUGUGAAAGCAUGCGACUCUUCGGAGGCGUUACACAGGUGCUGCAUGGCCGUCGUCAGCUCGUGUCGUGAGAUGUUUGGUUAAGUCCAGCAACGAGCGCAACCCCUGUUGCCAGUUACCAGCACGUGAAGGUGGGGACUCUGGCGAGACUGCCCAGAUCAACUGGGAGGAAGGUGGGGACGACGUCAGGUCAGUAUGGCCCUUAUGCCCAGGGCUGCACACGUACUACAAUGCCCAGUACAGAGGGGGCCGAAGCCGCGAGGCGGAGGAAAUCCUAAAAACUGGGCCCAGUUCGGACUGUAGGCUGCAACCCGCCUACACGAAGCCGGAAUCGCUAGUAAUGGCGCAUCAGCUACGGCGCCGUGAAUACGUUCCCGGGUCUUGUACACACCGCCCGUCACAUCAUGGAAGCCGGUCGCACCCGAAGUAUCUGAAGCCAACCGCAAGGAGGCAGGGUCCUAAGGUGAGACUGGUAACUGGGAUG